rnacentral:rRNA from 1 species
GAUGAACGCUGGCUACAGGCUUAACACAUGCAAGUCGAGGGGAAACGACGGGGAAGCUUGCUUCCCCGGGCGUCGACCGGCGCACGGGUGAGUAACGCGUAUCCAACCUGCCUCUGACUGAGGGAUAACCCGUCGAAAGUCGGCCUAAUACCUCAUGGCAUCGUCUGCGGGCAUCCAACGACGAUUAAAGAUUUCAUCGGUCAGAGAUGGGGAUGCGUCUGAUUAGCUUGUUGGCGGGGUAACGGCCCACCAAGGCGACGAUCAGUAGGGGUUCUGAGAGGAAGGUCCCCCACAUUGGAACUGAGACACGGUCCAAACUCCUACGGGAGGCAGCAGUGAGGAAUAUUGGUCAAUGGGCGAGGGCCUGAACCAGCCAAGUAGCGUGCAGGAUGACGGCCCUAUGGGUUGUAAACUGCUUUUAUGCGGGGAUAAAGUGAGGGACGUGUCCUUCAUUGCAGGUACCGCAUGAAUAAGGACCGGCUAAUUCCGUG